AUUGAACGCUGGCGGCAGGCCUAACACAUGCAAGUCGAGCGGAGCGGCUGACGGGUGAGUAAGGAAUAGGUAUCUGCCUGGUCGUGUGGGAUAACGUCAGGAAAGGGGCGCUUAGACCGCACCCUAUUAGCUUCACCUAGGUCUGAUUAGCUAGUUGGUGGGGUAAAGGCCUACCAGGGCGACGAUCCGUAACUGGUCUGAGAGGAUGUUGAGUCACACUGGAACUGAGAAACGGCCCAAACUCUUACGGGAGGCAGCAGUGGGGAAUAUUGGACAAGGGGCGAAAGCCUGAUGAAGCCAUGCCGCGGGUGUGAAGAAGGUCUUCGGAUUGUAAAGCACUUUAAGUGGGGAGGCGUUACCAACAGAAUAAGCACCGGCUAACUUCGUGCCAGCAGCCGCGGUAAUAC
rnacentral:rRNA from 1 species